AGCGAGCGCAGGCGGUUAUGUAAGACAGAUGUGAAAUCCUCGGGCUUAACCUGGGAACUGCAUUUGUGACUGCAUGGCUAGAGUGUGUCAGAGGGGGGUGGAAUUCCACGUGUAGCAGUGAAAUGCGUAGAGAUGUGGAGGAACACCGAUGGCGAAGGCAGCCCCCUGGGAUAACACUGACGCUCAUGCUCGAAAGCGUGGGGAGCAAUCAGGAUUAGAUACCCUGGUAGUCCACGCCCUAAACGAUGUCUACUAGUUGUCGGGUCUUAAUUGACUUGGUAACGCAGCUAACGCGUGAAGUAGACCGCCUGGGGAGUACGGUCGCAAGAUUAAAACUCAAAGGAAUUGACGGGGACCCGCACAAGCGGUGGAUGAUGUGGAUUAAUUCGAUGCAACGCGAAAAACCUUACCUACACUUGACAUGUCGCAAAUCCAGAAGAGAUUUUGGAGUGCUCGAAAGAGAAUGCGAACACAGGUGCUGCAUGGCUGUCGUCAGCUCGUGUCGUGAGAUGUUGGGUUAAGUCCCGCAACGAGCGCAACCCUUUUCAUUAGUUGCUGCGCAAGGGCACUCUAAUGAUACUGCCGGUGACAAACCGGAGGAAGGUGGGGAUGACGUCAAGUCCUCAUGGCCCUUAUGUGUAGGGCUUCACACGUCAUACAAUGGUCGGUACAGAGGGUCGCCAACCCGCGAGGGGGAGCCAAUCCCAGAAAACCGAUCGUAGUCCGGAUCGCACUCUGCAACUCGAGUGCGUGAAGUCGGAAUCGCUAGUAAUCGCGGAUCAGCAUG
rnacentral:rRNA from 1 species